AGUGAACGCUGGCGGUAGGCCUAACACAUGCAGGUCGAACGGCAGCACAGGAGAGCUUGCUCUCUGGGUGGCGAGUGGCGGACGGGUGAGGAAUACAUCGGAAUCUACUCUGUCGUGGGGGAUAACGUAGGGAAACUUACGCUAAUACCGCAUACGACCUACGGGUGAAAGCAGGGGACCUUCGGGCCUUGCGCGAUUGAAUGAGCCGAUGUCGGAUUAGCUAGUUGGCGGGGUAAAGGCCCACCAAGGCGACGAUCCGUAGCUGGUCUGAGAGGAUGAUCAGCCACACUGGAACUGAGACACGGUCCAGACUCCUACGGGAGGCAGCAGUGGGGAAUAGUGGACAAUGGGCGCAAGCCUGAUCCAGCCAUACCGCGUGGGUGAAGAAGGCCUUCGGGUUGUAAAGCCCUUUUGUUGGGAAAGAAAUCCAGCUGGCUAAUACCCGGUUGGGAUGACGGUACCCAAAGAAUAAGCACCGGCUAACUUCGUGCCAGCAGCCGCAGUAA
rnacentral:rRNA from 1 species